GUUAGGAAUAUUGGACAAUGGGCGAAAGCCUGAUCCAGCCAUGCCGCGUGAACGAUGAAGGCCUUCGGGUUGUAAAGUUCUUUAGCCGAUGAUUAUAAUGACUGUAGUCGGAAAAUAAGCCCCGGCUAACUUCGUGCCAGCAGCCGCGGUAAUACGAAGGGGGCGAGCGUUAUUCGGAAUCACUGGGCGUAAAGCGUGCGUAGGCGGUUUUGUAAGUUAGGAGUGAAAGCCCAGGGCUCAACCUUGGAAUUGCUCUUAAAACUGCAAGGCUCGAAUCUCGGAGAGGAUAGCGGAAUUUCCAGUGUAGCAGUGAAAUGCGUAGAUAUUGGAAGGAACACCAGUGGCGUAAGCGGCUAUCUGGACGAGUAUUGACGCUGAGGCACGAAAGCGUGGGGAGCAAACAGGAUUAGAAACCCUAGUAGUCC
rnacentral:rRNA from 1 species